rnacentral:rRNA from 1 species
GGACGGGUGAGUAACGCGUGGGCAACCAACCCUGUACAGUGGGAUAACACCGGGAAACCGGUGCUAAUACCGCAUGACACUUAACCGGCGCAUGCUGGUUAGGUUAAAGGGCAAAACCGGUACAGGACGGGCCCGCGUCCCAUUAGCUGGUUGGUGAGGUAACGGCUCACCAAGGCGACGAUGGGUAGCCGACCUGAGAGGGUGGCCGGCCACACUGGGACUGAGACACGGCCCAGACUCCUACGGGAGGCAGCAGUGGGGAAUAUUGCGCAAUGGACGAAAGUCUGACGCAGCGACGCCGCGUGAGCGAAGAAGGCCUUCGGGUCGUAAAGCUCUGUUCUUGGGGACGAAUAAGGUGACGGUACCCAAGGAGAAAGCCCCGGCUAACUACGUGCCAGCAGCCGCGGUAAUACGUAGGGGGCAAGCGUUGUCCGGAAUUACUGGGCGUAAAG